CUACGGGAGGCAGCAGUGGGGAAUCUUAGACAAUGGGCGCAAGCCUGAUCUAGCCAUGCCGCGUGAGUGAUGAAGGCCUUAGGGUCGUAAAGCUCUUUCGCCUGUGAUGAUAAUGACAGUAGCAGGUAAAGAAACCCCGGCUAACUCCGUGCCAGCAGCCGCGGUAAUACGGAGGGGGUUAGCGUUGUUCGGAAUUACUGGGCGUAAAGCGCACGUAGGCGGAUCAGAAAGUUAGGGGUGAAAUCCCGGGGCUCAACCUCGGAACUGCCUCUAAAACUCCUGGUCUAGAGUUCGAGAGAGGUGAGUGGAAUUCCAAGUGUAGAGGUGAAAUUCGUAGAUAUUUGGAGGAACACCAGUGGCGAAGGCGGCUCACUGGCUCGAUACUGACGCUGAGGUGCGAAAGUGUGGGGAGCAAACAGGAUUAGAAACCCUGGUAGUCCACACCGUAAACGAUGAAUGCCAGUCGUCGGCAAGUAUACUUGUCGGUGACACACCUAACGGAUUAAGCAUUCCGCCUGGGGAGUACGGUCGCAAGAUUAAAACUCAAAGGAAUUGACGGA
rnacentral:rRNA from 1 species